AGAUACGAGGAACAAAGAUUUUUUAUUUAUCCAAAUAGAAAGAUUACAGCUCGCCAAAAAAAAAAAAUUAAAGGGGGGCAGCAUCUUUUUCUCCACCCCCUCAUUCUCGCCCAGUUUCUCCUUUUCUUCCGCGGCCUCAUCCUGCUCUACCAGCAGAUCCUGGUCAAUCACAAUGCCUUUGAGGUCGAUGGCGAGGUCAGGGUGAUGGCGGCGAAGCUGCACCUUGUAGAAUUCAAACCCUUCGCCGAAGUACUUGGAAGCAGAAUCUUCAAUUGCCACCAAAAACUCCGACGAAGAUUUGAACUCCUCAACUGCGGACUCCUUAGCUUUGUUCAAAGCUUCCCUCAGCUCGACUACCAGGACCCCCGACCUCUCGAACUUGUCGGCAAACGAAUCCUGAUUGCUCUUCAUUUUGGUGAGCUCGUCGUUGGUCUGCGACUCGCAAACUCGGGCCUCCACCAAUUGUUGCUCCAAAUUGGCGGACAACUUUUGAAGGCGAGCAACUUCACUCUCCAUGGAAGCUGCUCGUUUUUCUUGGAGGGAGGCGUGCUCCCCCGCCUCCCUACUCCUGAUAGCUAAAGAGGAGCCGAGCACCAACGCCUACUACAAAAAAAUCUCUUUUAUCACAAACACUCCAAAGUAAGAUCGUAAAGAAAAACUCAAAAACACUCCGAAAUUGUACCUGACCGAUCACAUGGAAAAGCUUAGUGGCUGUUUGGUCCAAAGUCAACUUGUCCACCUUCUCUUUAUCGGUCGGAGGAAUAACUCCCCGCAACAACUUCUCGGCAACGGAUGGACUAUCCAAGAUGGAGGUCGUGGGGCCCAGGACGGUGCCGAGGUUGGCCAAGGUACCCUCCCCGGGACAUGAUAAGGCCGUGGCUGGGGUGGUCGGGGCGUUGCUCGAAGAGGUCGCCUUUUUCUUGCCUUCGAGCUCCCGAUCAACCCCUUUCCCCUUCGAAUUGUCGUUGACCUUGCCCUUUUUGCUGGGCAAGCUGGCGAGACUUUCUCUAGCGCGCUUCUCGCUAAUCACCACCCCUUUGGCAAGAGCAGGAGUCCCCGAAGGACUUCCAUUCUUCGAUUUCUCAAGCUUCUCGUCGAGUUUCUUCAAGUUAAUUCUCUUAGACAUAGCUGCAAAACAACACGCGGAUCAAACACAUAAAAAUGAAUAUCAGAAAAAGGAAAGGGGUAGUACCAUCCGAUUCAAGCUCGGCGGGUAGGCUCGAAUUUGAGCAGGAUUUCGAUGUGGGAUUCGAGCCCAAGCUAGGAGUGUUCAUAAAACGAUCUAAAAUAGGAUAAAGAACCUUUCCCCCCAACCACCUUAGAAGGGUUAGGUCGGGGAUGUGAGGCAAGAUCUCCCUCAGUUCUGUCCUAAUGGAUCCUAGACAUUCUACUGAAUCGUCUCGGGAGGGGCUUUGUUGCCGAACGUGUUCAUUGGAAGGGCGGGACUCACCCGCGUCGCUUGACGAGCUCGGUGCUCCUCCUCUUGGAUGCUCCUCGCCCACGGUCCCCAAUGCCAUGGCCCCAGAGAAACGAAUACUCGGCGAAAUGAUCUCGAUUCUAAAAGCACUGGAACAAAAAAGCGCCCUGACUUUUCUACCGACUUAAAAAUCUCCUCGAAAACUUUUGGCUCGUCGUCGUAGAGCCUGGGCAGAUUAUUACAAUGCUUAUUUAAAAAACAAGCAAGAAUAUUAGUCCUCCGAACAUCUAGUAUAAAGAUAAGGGACAGACAGGGAAAUAGACCUACUUGGAACUCCCCAUGUCCUCGAAAAUCGUGGGGCGCCUUCCCGAGUUGCACCUUCGGGAAACUCCCGCUCGUCGCCUAUAACGAAGAAGAAUUUGCUCUUCCACCCCUUGACAUUGCUGGUGUAUCCUACGAGUAGGGUCUUCUUGUGCCUCGCCUUGAAAUAAAGCCAGUCUUGGUCCAGUUUAGGAUUACUGUUCAGACUGAACAGGUUCCUGAACUCGAAAAGGGAGAGGGUAUAUUUGAUUACCCGCCACAACGCCAUAAGGCAAGUGAUGCUUCUCCAAGCAUUGGGAACGAAGGCCUGUGGGAUAUUAUAAAAUUGCAAAAUUAAUCUAAUAGUAGAGUGAACGGGAAAACGGAGGCCUGUGGGAAACGCAACCUCGUAAAAGGCUACCUCGCCUAGGCUAGCAGAAACUAUAGUCUCCUCUUCCUCGGGAAGCCUUACCCGCACCCCGGGAGUAAAGGAAUAGGUUUUUCCUAAGAGAAUUUAGCUCCUCUAAGGUCAUAAUAUUAUUUUUUUCCUCUACUGAGGGAUGAACGACAGCCAGAGGGUUCGUUUCGAGUGCUGGAGAACCCUCCAUAGGCGAUGCCGGCGACUGAUUUACCUCGUCAGUCAUAUAGAAAGAUCAUUCUUCCAAAUGGUCGGAUAUCCCAGAAGGCAGUGAAUUUAGGUUGCCCGAGUUAGCUACGUUGGGGUUAUGGAACAUAAACUACGAAAACAAUAAUGAAAGCUAAGGGCAGCAAACACUUGCUGAG
rnacentral:lncRNA from 1 species